AGUCUAUGGUGAAGACAUUUUCUAAGCAUCUCCUUGAAUCUCUCCCAUGCUUCACUUAGUGUUUCAUCUUCAAACUAUAGAAAUGCAAGAAUUUCGUUUCUAAACC